rnacentral:misc_RNA from 1 species
AAGCGGUACCCUUUUCGUCAGAYGUUGCAACUGCAAUGUCGGAUGAACCAUGUAGCAUCCUCUUUGAUCCCUAUAGUCGAUGAGCAUUCGUUGAUUGUUGGGCCCGUUGGGGGUGACUUGGUCUCUUGGAUUUGGAAGCUAAAGUGGGCAUGGGUUCGUAUGAUCCUUUUAUUGCCCUCGUUGAGCGUUCUUGCUUUUCUUAAACGACUGCCUUUCACGUAUGGCAUGUCCUAACGUGUUUGGCUAUGUCGAAGAGGAAUGUUACCUGGUUGAUCCUGCCAGUAGUCAUAUGCUUGUCUCAAAGAUUAA